GGGCAUGGCCGGGGGUAUCUGACCGGCCCAGUCCUGGAAGAGCACCCCAGGCCAUGCCAGUGGCCCUUAAGAUGGUGACUCACUCAUAAAGUAUUCUUCUGUUAGAAACAAAACAAGAUUUGUACACCCAUAUACACAACAGCAUCCACACCCAGGUCCACGACAGCAUCACCCACACCCCCAUCCAUGGCAGCAUCAGCCACACCCCUGUCCACAGGAACAUCAUCCACAACCCUAUCCACUGCAGCAUCACCCACACCCGCGUCCAUGGCAGCACCCACACCCCAGUCCAUGGCAGCAUCUACACCCCCAUCCACGGCAGCAUCAUCCACACCCGUCCAUGGCAGCAUCAUCCACACCCAGGUCCAUGGCAGCAUCCACACCCAGGUCCACGGCAGCAUCACCCACAUCCAUCCAUGGCAGCAUCAUCCACACCCCUGUCCACAGCAGCAUCCACACCCACAGCAGCAUCAUCCACACCCAGGUCCACGGCAGCAUCACCCACAUCCAUCCAUGGCAGCAUCAUCCACACCCCUGUCCACAGCAUCCACACCCAGGUCUACGGCAGCAUCACCCACACCCGCCCCCGUCCACGGCAGCAUCACCCACACCCCACCAUCCACGGCAGCAUCACCCACAACCCCAUCCACGGCAGCAUCAGCCACACCCCUGUCCACGGGAACAUCACAACCCUAUCCACUACAGCAUCAUCCACACCUGCGUCCAUGGCAGCAUCCACACCCCAGUCCAUGGCAGCAUCUACACCCCUAUUCAUGGCAGCAUCAUCCACACCCCAGUCCACGGCAGCACCAUCCACAACCCCUGUCCACAGCAGCAUCAUCCACACCCGUCCACAGCACCAUCCACACCCCGUCCACGGCAGCAUCCACACCCAGGUCCACGGCAGCAUCCACACCCAGGUCCACGGAAACAUCCACACGCCUGUCCACGGCAGCAUCCACACCCCCGUCCACAGCAACAUCAUCCACAACAGCCAGGGGGAGAGGGGCCUGAGCAUCCGACAGAGGAGGAUAAAUACAGGCAGUCCAUGCAGAUCCCUGCCCAUCAUUCAGCCUUAAAAAGGAAGGCAGCUCAGACACAUGCUCCAGAAGGCACGGCACUCAAGGACGCCACGUAGAGUGCAAUGAGCCAUCACAAACACUACCUCCACAGGGAGCACUCAAGGACACCAAGUGGAGUAAAAUGAGCCAUCACAAAACACUGUGCAACUCCACUUACAUGAGGCCCCUACAGGGGCCAAAAUCCUAGAGACGGAAAGUGGAGGCCAGGCGCGGUGGCUCACGCCUAUAAUCCCAACACUUUGGGAGGCCAAGAACGGCAGAUCAUGAGGUCAGGAGUUCAAGACCAGCCUGGCCAACAUG
rnacentral:lncRNA from 1 species